AAAACAGUCCAAAGGCAAAGUAAUACAUAGGCUUUGUUUAAAUAAAUGUAAAUUAUGUCAUCUUAGGACAGUAGAAGUUAGCCCAUUUGUAGAUCCCCCUCUUUCGUGUAUAAGUUCAGCAGGCCGGCGAGAGCAAUCUCUUUUCUGAACACACUGCCCUGUGAAGCGUUCACUCAGACUUCAGCCUCACAGAAACUAUCAAAAGACCCUGAAAAACCCGGGCUUGACUUUUUUGCUCCUCUGAGCACGUCGGAAGAUGGACAAUCAGAGGGCUUCUCAGUCCCGCCCUAAGGAAGUAGGUGGGUACAGGCAAGGCUCGGCAA
ensembl:lncRNA